rnacentral:lncRNA from 1 species
AAAAAAAGCCCUGGGUUAUUCUGACUUUGACUUGGCUUCAAUGAUUAACUACUAACGUCCAGCUUCUGAGGUGGGGGUUUCCUACACAGGCUUUUAAGUCUGUCAGACCUGUGUUUAUCAUCUCUUUUCUAGUUUAUCUAACUUGGGUCUAAAGUUAUAAAGUGGAAGAUAUACUGUCCUCUAUGCUGAGCACAUCCAAGGCACUUGCAGGAUCACCCUUCAGGACCUCUGAGACUAGGACAGUUUAUAAAUGUCGCUAGAAGCAGCUCAUGAUGUCUGGUUGGCUUCUGUCUCUGAUGUCUUUUCAUCCAUCUGUGCUAGUGUAGCCUUCUGUAGCCUCCUCUGCCCAUUCAGCUCAAAUUCUGUUUAGCUUUUAUGCCCUGAACAUAUUUACUGUGGACACCAAGAUGGCUUAGGCCUCCGUACUUGAGUAAUGUACCUUAGGAAGCCCUGUAAUAACUUUUGUCAGCAUAGUCACAAACCCAUUCUGCCACCUCAGCUUGAGCCCGUAUUAUGAUGGAUGCCCUUGGGGUGACUUGACUUUAUACUUCACUCUAAAAGUAAAUAAAGCAGGCUGAUUUAUUUAUUUAUUUUCCUACUUUUGGUUUAUAAUUUGUGAGACUUGCAUUUUCACUCAAUACUAAUUUGUCAAAAACCACUCCCCAUUUGCCUACUGCCUAAAAUAAUGUGGCCAAACCCAUGUCCAGGGAUCAUAAACUAAUAGUUUUGUGUGGCCUUCAUAGUAUUAAAAAACACUGAACACCAUUGACAGGGCACAGAUACUCCAUGCCACAGUCCCAACCACUCCUUACUCUCUCCAUUCCAUUUAUUUAUUUAAUUAAAUAUUGUGUUAACCCACAACUCAGUAAUAACAACAAUUAACAUUCUUGUCUUUUUUUAAAAAGUAUUUAUACAGUCAGCUCUCAGUAUCUUUGGGGAUUUGUUUUAAGAUCCCCUUGAAAACAAAAAUGUAUAGAUGUCCAAGUAUCUUACAGAAAAUGGCAUAGUCGGGUGGAGAGUCACUUGAGCUCAUGAAUUUGAGACCAACCUGGGCAAGGCCCUGUUUCCAAAAACAAAAGAACAGAUGUGGUGGCAUGUACCUAUAAUCCUGGUGACUAGAGGCUGAGGCAAGAGGAUUGCAAGUUUGAGGCCAGUCUCAGCAAAUUAGUAGGUCCUGUCUCAAAAAGGCUGGCAACAAGCACUUAGUUAUCUCCAAUGCUGGAAAAAAGAAGAGCAUAGUAUUUGCAUUUAACUUGUGCAUACUCUCCCAUAUACUGUACCCAUCUCUAGAUUAAUACAAUACCCAGUACAAUGGCAAUGGUUGUCACACCGUCU